GAAUCAUGCAAAACCUAAAUGUCACAUGAUUUCAAAGAUGAGUAUUUUUUUAGAGGCAACUAUCGCCUGAAAUAAUUUGACAGGCAUGCAUGCCUUGAUUAUAGUAUACAGCUAUAGAUGAAGAAAUAACGACAGAAAAUAGUUCAAGGCACCUGUAAAUAGCCAGCCUACGUCAUAUCAUUCUUGGUUAAAAGAUUUCAAGAUUCCAUCCAGUGUAAAUGUGGCCAGCUUGUGACUAAUGCUGCUAACCAUCGCUAAGGCAUAAUAUUAGAGCAGGGCCGUUCAGAGAAAUUAAGAACAUUGAGCACAAUUAAAUUUGAGGUGCCCUUCUUUGUGACCCGACAUAUAUUACAAUUUUCUAUUUAUUGGUAUUUAAAUUUAAAGGUCCGAUCAAUACGCCCCAUUAUCACCUCCCUGCCCCUUUCCCCAUAGCGGUCAUGUAUUAGAGAACUUUUUGUCAUUACAAACGCUUUUGGUAUCACUCAGCUAUGUAUAUUUUAUAUAAUAUAAGCUGUUUAUUAACGUUGAACAUA